GGCCAACUUUUACGUGUUGGCGGAAAGUUACCAAAAUAAGUUAAGGACUUAAUUCAGAGAUAAUGUUGCUAAACGAUUUACAGUCGAUAUUCUUUCAAAAGCAGAAAAACUCAGUGUCAAACAAAGAAUACGCGAAUUAUUUGAGA
rnacentral:lncRNA from 1 species